UACGAAGGGGGCUAGCGUUGCUCGGAAUCACUGGGCGUAAAGCGCACGUAGGGCGGAUUGCUAAGUCAGGGGUGAAAUCCUGGAGCUCAACUCCAGAACUGCCUUUGAUACUGGCGAUCUCGAGUCCGGGAGAGGUGAGUGGAACUGCGAGUGUAGAGGUGAAAUUCGUAGAUAUUCGCAAGAACACCAGUGGCGAAGGGCGGCUCACUGGCCCGGUACUGACGCUGAGGUGGCGGAAAGCGUGGGGAGCAACAGGG
rnacentral:rRNA from 1 species